ACUUAGAGAGGGCGUAAAAAGCGUAAAUCAUAAAAAGCGUAGGGCAAGUUAAGACUCGCGAGAUGCGUAAAAUUAGGGCUGCCAACAUUCUGCAAUUCGGAAUCGUUAUUAAAGUUUUGUUGCCCCGUUACAUAUUACUUGAAUUAAAAAUUAAGUUGUGUGAGAGAUUUAUUAAUCAUGACGAGCGAGAAGUACUUGCCGGUUAUAUUUCUGGGUUAUGUUUAGAUGCUGCGGUAUCUUUGGAUGCUUUUUUCCAACAAAGUCUAAAUAUUACGAGUGCAUUUAUGCGAGAAACAAUUAUUUUAGAAUAUAUCGCUACAGAACAUUUUUUAAUAUUCUUGGAAUUGUAUUUGUUGGAGUACACACGAAUGGAACCAUGAUACGUAUAUUUUCAGGAAUUCUCCAUUUUAUAAGAAUUAUGAGCAACUUAUGUACCAGUAAUGGGAGAUCCUGCGUAUCCACUACUAACGUGGUUGAUAAAGCGAUUCAUUCGCACAGAAGCUAGAUCUGCGAACGAAGAGUCGUUCAAUGCUUAUAUGAACAAAGGACGCGUGAAAGUGGAACUCGCCUUCGGAAGGUUGACAAGUCGAUGGAGACGAUUAGCAAAACGUUUUGAUGUCCAUUAUUCUUUUGUCCCCGAGAUGGUUGCUGCCUGCUGUAUGGUACAUUACAGAAUAUUUUGGAAACGAGUAGAGACAGUAAUGACAAAAAUUGGGAAAAUCAAAGAAAACAUGACGAACUAUUAUUUCCUCAACCCAAAAGAGAUGAAGGUGUCGGUGAGGAGACAGCUGAUGGCAAACGAGUUCGAAAUGUUUUGCUUGACAUUAUUUCUCAAUUGCCGAAAAGAAAAUCGCUCCGCUAAAAUGUUAAUUUUUAAAAUUCAUUACGUUACAUGAACGAAAUUU